rnacentral:rRNA from 1 species
CCUACGGGAGGCAGCAGUGAGGAAUAUUGGUCAAUGGCCGGGAGGCUGAACCAGCCAAGUCGCGUGAAGGAAGACGGCCCUACGGGUUGUAAACUUCUUUUGUCAAGGAGCAAGGUGAGGGUCGGGACCCUCUGUGAGAGUACCUGAAGAAAAAGCAUCGGCUAACUCCGUGCCAGCAGCCGCGGUAAUACGGAGGAUGCGAGCGUUAUCCGGAUUUAUUGGGUUUAAAGGGUGCGCAGGCGGUGGCAUAAGUCAGCGGUAAAAUCGCGGGGCUCAACCCCGCUCAGCCGUUGAAACUGGGUGCCUUGAGUGCGCGAAGGGUAGGCGGAAUGCGUGGUGUAGCGGUGAAAUGCAUAGAUAUCACGCAGAACUCCGAUUGCGAAGGCAGCCUACCGGCGCGCAACUGACGCUGAUGCACGAAAGCGUGGGUAUCGAACAGGAUUAGAUACCCCUGUAGUC